rnacentral:rRNA from 1 species
UACGUAGGGUGCAAGCGUUAAUCGGAAUUACUGGGCGUAAAGCGUGCGCAGGCGGUUCGCUAAGACAGAUGUGAAAUCCCCGGGCUUAACCUGGGAACUGCAUUUGUGACUGGCGGGCUAGAGUAUGGCAGAGGGGGGUAGAAUUCCACGUGUAGCAGUGAAAUGCGUAGAGAUGUGGAAGAAUACCGGUGGUGAAGACGGUUUUCUGUGCUAAGCCAGACGCUGAGGCGCGAAAGCUAGGGGAGCAAACAGG